GAAAGCCGCGCAACUGUCUCCCAGGAAAMAGCAGUACGACCAACACAUUCCCCGUUUUUGGGACUGGCACAUCAUGCUGUCGCUGUGAACGUAUUUUGUCGCCUAUUUUAGGUACACUGAAAUAUAUUAGCCAUUAAGUUUAGCUCGAUAAUGUAAGUAUCCAGCGAUAUUGUUUGUUGCAACAUGCUAGCAGUAACUGACUUUGCCAGGGAGCCUUUGCUCGAGCACGUGAAUUAUUUCACAAAUGGGGGGGGGGGGGUCAUCAUUCCAGAAUCUACAAGACCUCUCUGCCCUCUUAUCCAUGCAGGACGAGGAUUAUGAAGAUGAUUGUAAGGUGAAAAUCCAACUGCCAGACACCAAAGCAACAGAUAUAGUCCUGGAUGGAUGUGAAGGAGAAAGUCCUUGUUCUGCGAACACCAUACUUCUAAGUUGCUUGCCUGUCAUCGUUCUGCAAAGAGUUCCAGGAUAUCAAUCCAUAGCCAGAAAACUCUUUGCCACGAUUUGCUGACCUCCUCUCAUGCUCCUUUUUUCUUCAUAAGGAGAGAAGUGUUUUAUAUCUAUCUAAAACAUCUGUCAUCUCAGCCAUGACUGAAAAUCCCCUCUCUUCCUCUCCUUUUGUCCAGAUGAGCAGGUCCGAGGUGUUGGCUUCAAACCGGUAGCUGCUUAGGGCUCAAAUGUAUAGACUUUGAUCCCCUUAUAAUAUUCAUAGGAAUUCACUCAUAGAUGUUCUACGCUAAAACAAUAAAAACAUUUGUAAUAGUGCUCUUGGAAAUAAAUAGCUACUCUUGUUGAAACUA